UGGGGAAUUUGGACAAUGGGCGAAAGCCUGAUCCAGCAAUGCCGCGUGUGUGAAGAAGGCCUUCGGGUUGUAAAGCACUUUUGUCCGGAAAGAAAUCCUUGGCUCUAAUACAGUCGGGGGAUGACGGUACCGGAAGAAUAAGCACCGGCUAACUACGUGCCAGCAGCCGCGGUAAUACGUAGGGUGCAAGCGUUAAUCGGAAUUACUGGGCGUAAAGCGUGCGCAGGCGGUUUGCUAAGACCGAUGUGAAAUCCCCGGGCUCAACCUGGGAACUGCAUUGGUGACUGGCAGGCUAGAGUAUGGCAGAGGGGGGUAGAAUUCCACGUGUAGCAGUGAAAUGCGUAGAGAUGUGGAGGAAUACCGAUGGCGAAGGCAGCCCCCUGGGCCAAUACUGACGCUCAUGCACGAAAGCGUGGGGAGCAAACAGGAUUAGAUACCCUGGUAGUCCACGCCCUAAACGAUGUCAACUAGUUGUUGGGGAUUCAUUUCCUAGUAACGUAGCUAACGCGUGAAGUUGACCGCCUGGGGAGUACGGUCGCAAGAUUAAAAC
rnacentral:rRNA from 1 species